CGUCAGGAAAAAUAAACACGAGGCAUUUGCGGACCCGCACGAUUCUGGAAAAACCUUCGAGAUUAGGCCAGAAAACCCAUAAAUGGUAGGAAUUGAUAAUAAUCUCACCAAGGUCGACAACAACUUCAGCGGUGAAGCUCGACAAAGUAUCUAGAGCAAACUUUUAUUCGACCGGAAAAACACGGGAGCAGUUCCAGCGCUAAACUUCGUCAACAGCAGCAGCGGUAAACAUAAUUCUGGUGAGAAAAAACAUGUUCAGUUCCUCACCCAUGAUUCCGACCACAGACACCAGCAGCUACCGAUUAUAUCGCCAUUACCACCGUCAGUGGCAACAGCAGCACCGCCAAAUAUAACAUCAGCAGGAAGCGUUCCCUAGCACCACAACCCGUUUUCCGGUGGAAAAUAACAUAACAAUAUACUCCGUGGAAAAAUAAGUGCCGCAGUCAAAUCAAGUCGAGUCAGGAAAAAACCCGAGGCCGAUUCCGGAAAAGUAAUGAAGCUCGACAAAGUACAGGAUGCAAUGAAAAAAUUCCAUCAUCCGGUCGGACAAAUAACGGAGCAGAUCCAGCACCAAAAGGUGAACAUUGGGCCGGAACAACCAGUAUUACUUCAUCACAAGUCGUCUGGCGGAAGAACCUCAUCUAGUUAGUUCCUCAGCCACAAUUGCGACAACCAAAACCAGCCGCCGCUUAUCGUACCGCUAUCACCAACACCAGCGUUAACAGCAGCACUACCAAAUCUAACAUCAGACAUUCGUCGGAAGCGUUCCUUCGCAUUACUACCCGCUCUCCGGCGGAAGAAACCAUCAACACAGCAGCAGCAGGUACCAUUCCCGUCUGUACCGCAAGAAACAAAUCAGUUCAGCAGCAACAGCUGCCGGUUCAACAUCUGCCUCGAGGAGUCAAUUUUCUUUUCCCACAUCAGAAGCGCACCAGGCGGCGGUUGGAAACAGAAGUUCCCUCACAAAAUCUUUCGCGCCACCGGUCAUUGCACAAGCAAACGGAACCAGCAUCAAAAACAAUAAAAAUACUCCCUGGUGGUAACUACAGAAAUAGCACAAAAGGAGCAAACUCUGAUGUUUGAACCAAUUCUACAUAAGAUACCCCGUAAUCAGCCCAUUUAGUGAUAUUUUGCCCGCAGAAUCUUCUGGCUGAGAGUAAACUGGAAAAAGGCCGACAAAUUUGUUCCGGGUUGGAUGAUAAAACUGUCCCCGGACGAUGGGGUAUGUUGAAGUAGUGUCCAGGCGGGCAACUUGUAGUUCCUGUACAUCGAUUUAGUGAUUGCACUUUAAGAUCUAGUAUUGAAGACUAACUCUUUUGAUUUGAAAAAGAUUCAUCCCGCGAAAUACUUGCAACACCGUGCACUGGGCCGAAAGAAUCAUUGUGACGUGGCAAAAAAAUACGAUGGCAACAUCUGCAAUGCAAUGUCAACGAGAAGCUGUGACAAACCUGGAUCAAAACUGGAGGAAUCGGUUUGUGAAUCGUGGAUCGUCGCCAGACUGACUAUUUAGUCUUUUUCGUGGGUGAGAUGGGACAAAGAAGUUUACAAGAAAUGCCAGUUUAAACAACAAAGAAUGUUAUCGAAAGUGGACUUGAUGAUUAAAAAACCAACAAUAGAAACAUCACCUUCGGCUCAACAGAAACGAUAAUUUCAGCACCAUUAACGGGAUAUUAAAGCCCUUUAAUCGCCUUGUUCCCUUCCGGCUAAGGUUGAUGAUACAAAAAAGUUGCCAACAAAUUAAGAAACUGGAGCCAGUCGUGCUGGAAACGUUUGGUGGCCAAUUAAUGUAAUCGAAAAGGUUUUGGCUAAGCGGUUCAAUUGUCGCCGUAUAGGAGCAAGAAUCUGGCGAAAUGACUGCCCCUCGCCAUAGCGACACCGAACAAAGCCCUCGGCACCGGCAUUUCCCAGAAGUUGCGAGAUCUUGCCACAUCGACGGGUCGCCUCCUCAGAGUCCGACCUGGAAAAUAAUACGCGUGGGGACGCUUUCUACAAAUGAUGGUGCGGGUGGCUGCGUCGGAAGCAGCAUGGGAUGAAUCAAUGGGAGCCUUGCGCUAACUUCCGGAAUUGGUUCAAGCAGUAGCAAAGGUUGCGAUUCCGGUUCGGAUCACUUCCCAAAGAAACAUAAAGAUGAUCUGAUAGCAUAGCAUCAAUAGGACAGAUAGAAGAAGAUUUUGAUUUGGAAUUGAAUAGAUUAUUUUGUUUUCAGUGUAGGUACUAUUGACACAUUUGCUUUAACACUAACUGCUUUAGUAGUGACAUAGCAAUAACCAUAACGUUAUCAAUCAACCCGUAAAUAGGUAUCAAUUAUUUAUUUAAACCUAGAACGAAAGAAUUUGGUUGUUUGAAUGAAAAAACGAAACAGAAUCGAACUGAUAUCAACUACGCGGAAUAGCUGCGUCUAGAAGUUAGUGAAAGAGAAAGCGGAGUUUGAGAUGUGUAAACAAAGAAUUGUACAGAAACUUUAAUGCAAAGUCAAAAACAAAGAUAAAAAGAGAAAAGUGUUAUUCAAAACUGAAGUAAAAACAUCUAUCAGCAACAAGUACCUAAAGGAAUAAAUAAGAAUAUUUUUUCAUACUAGAAAAAUAACAAAAUAGAAUACUGCAAGUAAGUUUAUACAAAAACAUGGAGUAGUACAGUCGCUUAUAAGACUUUUUGUUUAGCACCAAUUUAAGACUUAGAUGCUUGUUCCACAGUGGAGAAACAAGA